rnacentral:misc_RNA from 1 species
AGCAGCCGCGGUAAUUCCAGCUCCGAUAGCGUAUAUUAAAGUUGCUGCAGUUAAAAAGCUCGUAGUUGAAUUUCGGGACCAUCAUGUUGGUCGUGCCUCGGUACGUACUGGCAUUGUUGGUUUCUCCCUUCUGACGAACCAUGAUGUCAUUUAUUUGGUGUCGUGGGAAAUCAGGACUGUUACUUUGAAAAAAUUAGAGUGUUUAAAGCAGGCUCACGCUUGAAUACAUUAGCAUGGAAUAAUGAAAUAGGACGUUUGAUUCUAUUUUGUUGGUUUCUAGGAUCGACGUAAUGAUUAAUAGGGAUAGUUGGGGGCAUUAGUAUUCAAUUGUCAGAGGUGAAAUUCUUGGAUUUAUUGAAGACUAACUACUGCGAAAGCAUUUGCCAAGGAUGUUUUCAUUAAUCAAGAACGAAAGUUAGGGGAUCGAAGACGAUCAGAUACCGUCGUAGUCUUAACCAUAAACUAUGCCGACUAGGGAUCGGAUGAUGUUAAUUUUUUAAUGACUCAUUCGGCGCCUUAC